UUAUGGCCAUAUCAAGUUGAAACACCAGUUCCUAUAUGAUUACUUGAGUUAAGCAAUGUCAAGCCUGGUCAGUACCUAGAUGGAUGACCACUUGGGAAUGCUAGGUGCCGUAAU